rnacentral:sRNA from 1 species
AUCGGUUUGUAGUACAGACCUUAUGCAAGCAAAUUUAGUAAAGCAGUCUUCAUUUCAAGCGUUAUCCGUCGAUAUCCUUUCUCAUGAGCCUCCUUUUAAAGUGACCAUAAGCUAUUUACUGUAUAGCAGAUCAGAUUCGCCAUUCUGAGCGGAUCGAUAAGUAAGGAUUUAACGAUGUCUACUAAGAUGACUGGUUUAGUAAAGUGGUUUGAUGCAGGUAAAGGUUUUGGUUUUAUCUCUCCUGCAGACGGUAGCAAAGACGUGUUUGUUCACUUCUCUGCAAUCCAAAGCAAUGGUUUCAAAACUCUAGCUGAAGGCCAAAACGUUGAGUUUGAAAUUCAAGAUGGACAAAAAGGUCCAGCAGCAGUAAACGUCACUGCUAUCUAAUUCUCGGUUUUCCGAAGUAAUUAUGAAUCCCCGCUCAUGCGGGGAUUUUUCUU